GUGCUCGCUUCAGCAGCACAUAUACUAAAAUUGGAACGUACAGAGAAGAUUAGCAUGGCCCCUGUGCAAAGAUGACAUGCAAAUUCAUGAAACGUUCCAUAUUAAA
rnacentral:snRNA from 1 species